rnacentral:rRNA from 1 species
GACAGAGGGUGCAAACGUUGUUCGGAAUUACUGGGCGUAAAGCGCAUGUAGGCGGCCUAGCAGGUCGGAUGUGAAAUCCCUCGGCUCAACCAAGGAAGUGCAUUCGAAACCGCAAGGCUGGAGUCCCGGAGAGGGUGGUGGAAUUCUCGGUGUAGAGGUGAAAUUCGUAGAUAUCGAGAGGAACACCGGCGGCGAAGGCGGCCACCUGGACGAGGACUGACGCUGAGAUGCGAAAGCGUGGGGAGCAAACAGG